rnacentral:sRNA from 1 species
UACUGCCAAGGGUUUGUUGGCCCGGCGGGGGAUCCGAAGAAGCGGAUCCAAAACGUCAGGGUGAACCGAUGGUAUAUGCGUUGCGUCAGGAAUUAAAGUCCCGUUAAUGAAAAAGAAGAAAGACGUGAAAUCGGGCGACGA